AGCCAGACCGGAAGGACUGGUGGAGCGCUUAGAAGUGAGAAUGCCGGUAUGAGUAGCGAAAGAGGGGUGAGAAUCCCCUCCACCGAAUGCCUAAGGUUUCCUGAGGAAGGCUCGUCCGCUCAGGGUUAGUCGGGACCUAAGCCGAGGCCGAAAGGCGUAGGCGAUGGACAACAGGUUGAUAUUCCUGUACCACCUCCUCACCAUUUGAGCAAUGGGGGGACGCAGGAGGAUAGGGUAAGCGCGGUAUUGGAUAUCCGCGUCCAAGCAGUUAGGCUGGGAAAUAGGCAAAUCCGUUUCCCAUAAGGCUGAGCUGUGAUGGCGAGCGAAAUAUAGUAGCGAAGUUCCUGAUUCCACACUGCCAAGAAAAGCCUCUAGCGAGGUGAGAGGUGCCCGUACCGCAAACCGACACAGGUAGGCGAGGAGAGAAUCCUAAGGUGAUCGAGAGAACUCUCGUUAAGGAACUCGGCAAAAUGACCCCGUAACUUCGGGAGAAGGGGUGCUCUGUUAGGGUGCAAGCCCGAGAGAGCCGCAGUGAAUAGGCCCAGGCGACUGUUUAGCAAAAACACAGGUCUCUGCGAAGCCGUAAGGCGAAGUAUAGGGGCUGACGCCUGCCCGGUGCUGGAAGGUUAAGAGGAGCGCUUAGCGUAAGCGAAGGUGCGAAUUGAAGCCCCAGUAAACGGCGGCCGUAACGAUAACGGUCCUAAGGUAGCGAAAUUCCUUGUCGGGUAAGUUCCGACCCGCACGAAAGGCGCAACGAUCUGGGCACUGUCUCAACGAGAGACUCGGUGAAAUUAUAGUACCUGUGAAGAUGCAGGUUACCCGCGACAGGACGGAAAGACCCCGUGGAGCUUUACUGCAGCCUGAUAUUGAAUGUUGGUACAGCUUGUACAGGGUAGGUAGGAGCCUUGGAAACCGGAGCGCCAGCUUUGGUGGAGGCAUCGGUGGGAUACUACCCUGGCUGUAUUGACCUUCUAACCCGCCGCCCUUAUCGGGCGGGGAGACAGUGUCAGGUGGGCAGUUUGACUGGGGCGGUCGCCUCCUAAAAGGUAACGGAGGCGCCCAAAGGUUCCCUCAGAAUGGUUGGAAAUCAUUCGCAGAGUGUAAAGGCACAAGGGAGCUUGACUGCGAGACCUACAAGUCGAGCAGGGACGAAAGUCGGGCUUAGUGAUCCGGUGGUUCCGCAUGGAAGGGCCAUCGCUCAACGGAUAAAAGCUACCCCGGGGAUAACAGGCUUAUCUCCCCCAAGAGUCCACAUCGACGGGGAGGUUUGGCACCUCGAUGUCGGCUCAUCGCAUCCUGGGGCUGUAGUCGGUCCCAAGGGUUGGGCUGUUCGCCCAUUAAAGCGGUACGCGAGCUGGGUUCAGAACGUCGUGAGACAGUUCGGUCCCUAUCCGUCGCGGGCGCAGGAAAUUUGAGAGGAGCUGUCCUUAGUACGAGAGGACCGGGAUGGACGCACCGCUGGUGUACCAGUUGUUCUGCCAAGGGCAUCGCUGGGUAGCUAUGUGCGGACGGGAUAAGUGCUGAAAGCAUCUAAGCAUGAAGCCCCCCUCAAGAUGAGAUUUCCCAUUCCGCAAGGAAGUAAGAUCCCUGAAAGAUGAUCAGGUUGAUAGGUCUGAGGUGGAAGUGUGGCGACACAUGGAGCUGACAGAUACUAAUCGAUCGAGGACUUGACU
rnacentral:rRNA from 1 species